rnacentral:rRNA from 1 species
UACGGGGGGUGCGAGCGUUGUCCGGAAUCACUGGGCGUAAAGCGCGCGUAGGCGGCUUUGCAAGUCGGGUGUGAAAUCCCCAGGCUUAACCUGGGAACUGCAUUCGAGACUGCAUUGCUAGAGUAUGGGAGAGGGAAGUGGAAUUUCCGGUGUAGCGGUGAAAUGCGUAGAUAUCGGAAGGAACAUCAGUGGCGAAAGCGACUUCCUGGACCAAUACUGACGCUCAUGUGCGAAAGCGUGGGGAGCAAACAGG